GCCUGACUAGCUCAAUCGGUAGAGCGUGAGACUCUUAAUCUCAAGGUUGUGGGUUCGACCCCCACGUUAGGCU
rnacentral:tRNA from 1 species